rnacentral:rRNA from 1 species
UUCCCAGACUCCUACGGGAGGCAGCAGUGGGGAAUAUUGGGCAAUGGGCGCAAGCCUGACCCAGCAACGCCGCGUGAAGGAAGAAGGCUUUCGGGUUGUAAACUUCUUUUAAGGGGGAAGAGCAGAAGACGGUACCCCUUGAAUAAGCCACGGCUAACUACGUGCCAGCAGCCGCGGUAAUACGUAGGUGGCAAGCGUUGUCCGGAUUUACUGGGUGUAAAGGGCGUGCAGCCGGGACUGCAAGUCAGAUGUGAAAUCCGCGGGCUUAACCCGCGAACUGCAUUUGAAACUGCGGAUCUUGAGUACCGGAGAGGUUAUCGGAAUUCCUUGUGUAGCGGUGAAAUGCGUAGAUAUAAGGAAGAACACCAGUGGCGAAGGCGGAUAACUGGACGGCAACUGACGGUGAGGCGCGAAAGCGUGGGGAGCAAACAGGAUUAGAUACCCCUGUACC